rnacentral:rRNA from 1 species
CGGCGGACGGGUGAGUAACACGUGGAUAACCUACCUAUAAGACUGGGAUAACUUCGGUAAACCGGAGCUAAUACCGGAUAAUAUAUUGAACCGCAUGGUUCAAUAGUGAAAGACGGUUUUGCUGUCACUUAUAGAUGGAUCCGCGCCGCAUUAGCUAGUUGGUAAGGUAACGGCUUACCAAGGCAACGAUGCGUAGCCGACCUGAGAGGGUGAUCGGCCACACUGGAACUGAGACACGGUCCAGACUCCUACGGGAGGCAGCAGAC